rnacentral:rRNA from 1 species
AUUGAACGCUGGCGGCAGGCCUAACACAUGCAAGUCGAGCGAGCGGCGGACGGGUGAGUAAUGUCUGGGAAACUGCCUGCUGGAGGGGGAUAACUACUGGAAACGGUAGCUAAUACCGCAUACCAUCAGAUUUUCCCAGAUGGGAUUAGCUGGUUGGUGGGGUAACGGCUCACCUAGGCGACGAUCCCUAGCUGGCCUGCGAGGAUGACCGGCCACACUGGAACUGAGAAACGGUCCAGACUCCUCCGGAAGGCAGCAGUGGGGAAUAUUGCACAGUGGGGGCAAGCCGGAUGCAGCCAUGCCGCGGAUGUGAAGAAGGCCUUCGGGUUGUAAAGCACUUUCAGCGGGGAGGCGUUACCCGCAGAAGAAGGACCGGCUAACUCCGUGCCAGCAGCCGCGGUAAUAC